rnacentral:lncRNA from 1 species
GGAAGUGAUGAUAAUGGAAGAUUUGAGGUAUGGUCUACAGACUCUGAGGAUGAUGAAGUCAGAAAACCCACACAUGGCAGGUGCUUUGUUGCAAAGUCAAAAUUGCAGGGAUAUGAAGGUAAAUGUGUGAUGGUUCAGAACGGAGCUUCGGAACAAAAGGGUUAUGCUACUAAUGGUGGUUGAGCUUCCGGAAGCUGUUUUGCUGCGAAGAUCAUUUCAGAGCAGGUGAAAGAAUGCGAGAAGGUGGUUCAUAAGGUGAAAGAAUACUUUAUCUCUUAAUAUUCCUGUCUCUCGCUAUGAUUCUGAAUUAGACGAUUUAAAAUAUAUUGUUUCUAAUUUUAGUGAUAGUUUAAAACGAACUUGUCUUAGUAAUUCUAACCUAACUGAUCAACUUAACAGGGAAACAUUUAAUAGUGAAGAGAGAAGAUUAAGAAUAGAGGCUUUGGAGUUAGAGCUCACUAGAUCACGUGAUGAUGCCAUUUAUCUCAAGAGACAUAGUCGUG